rnacentral:rRNA from 1 species
AGACUGCAGGCUGCAACUCGCCUGCACGAAGUCGGAAUUGCUAGUAAUCGUAGGUCAGCAUACUACGGUGAAUACGUUCCCGGGCCUUGUACGCACCGCCCGUCACACCAUGGGAGUCGGGAAUGCCCGAAGUCAGUGACCCAACCGGAAGGAGGGAGCUGCCGAAGGCAGGCUCGAUAACUGGGGUGAAGUCGUAACAAGGUAUC